AGUCUGCAACCCGACUACACGAAGCCGGAAUCGCUAGUAAUCGCGAAUCAGAAUGUCGCGGUGAAUACGUUCCCGGGUCUUGUACACACCGCCCGUCACACCAUGGGAGUCGGAAAUGCCCGAAGUCAGUGACCCAACCGCAAGGAGGGAGCUGCCGAAGGCAGGUCCGGUAACUGGGGUGAAGUCGUAACAAGGUAGC
rnacentral:rRNA from 1 species